UGGGGAAUUUUGGACAAUGGGCGAAAGCCUGAUCCAGCAAUGCCGCGUGUGUGAAGAAGGCCUUCGGGUUGUAAAGCACUUUUGUCCGGAAAGAAAUCCUUGGCUCUAAUACAGUCGGGGGAUGACGGUACCGGAAGAAUAAGCACCGGCUAACUACGUGCCAGCAGCCGCGGUAAUACGUAGGGUGCAAGCGUUAAUCGGAAUUACUGGGCGUAAAGCGUGCGCAGGCGGUUUGCUAAGACCGAUGUGAAAUCCCCGGGCUCAACCUGGGAACUGCAUUGGUGACUGGCAGGCUAGAGUAUGGCAGAGGGGGGUAGAAUUCCACGUGUAGCAGUGAAAUGCGUAGAGAUGUGGAGGAAUACCGAUGGCGAAGGCAGCCCCCUGGGCCAAUACUGACGCUCAUGCACGAAAAGCGUGGGGAGCAAACAGGAUUAGAUACCCUGGUAGUCCACGCCCUAAAACGAUGUCAACUAGUUGUUGGGGAUUCAUUUCCUUAGUAACGUAGCUAACGCGUGAAAGUUGACCGCCUGGGGAGUACGGUCGCAAGAUUAAAACUUAAAUGAAUUGACGGGGUCAUAGCUGUUUCCU
rnacentral:rRNA from 1 species